rnacentral:rRNA from 1 species
CGCCCGUCACACCAUGGGAGUCGGAAAUGCCCGAAGCCGGUGACCCAACCUUAAGGAGGAGCUGUCGAAGGUGGAGCCGAUAACUGGGGUGAAGUCGUAACAAGGUAUC